GACACCCCACCUGGGCCUCCUGAGGUCCCCCCAGGCCAGGGACCUUUCUGGAGGGGACCGGGAGCUGCUCCAGGCAAAACUGGUGGGCAGCGUAGGAGGAAGCACAGGAGCCCUCUUCCGAGAGCACAGCAUGACAGAUACAAGCAGCUGACCUCUGGUCCGAGAUUAGAUCCCAAACCGGGAAGGCUGUUUUCUCUAGGCUCUAAUACUGGGACAAGUGGUGAAAAUGAAGCGUGAACUGUUGAGCACUACACUGAGAGAAAAUCGUGACUCAGAGGAACUGGGCUUUGAAGGUCACACAGGAACAAGACCACAGUGGGCGUUCGCCUGGGUGCAGACACCUCCAAAGCCUGAAUUUUCUACACGAUACCUGAGAGAUGUUUAUGACCUUGCACAGAUUCUACAAAAUUCUAAACGUUCUAAAGUUUUGGGCACUAAUAAGAUAACACUCAACUUCCUUCUUAAAAAAAGAA